rnacentral:rRNA from 1 species
UACGUAGGGGGCGAGCGUUGUCCGGAUUUAUUGGGCGUAAAGAGCGUGUAGGCGGUUCGGUAAGUCCGCUGUGAAAGUCGGGGGCUCAACCCUCGGAUGCCGGUGGAUACUGUCGGACUAGAGUACGGAAGAGGCGAGUGGAAUUCCUGGUGUAGCGGUGAAAUGCGCAGAUAUCAGGAGGAACACCGAUUGCGAAGGCAGCUCGCUGGGACGUUACUGACACUGAGGGACGAAAGCUAGGGGAGCGAAUGGG